UAAAGACUGUAGAGGCGACUGGUGUUCUCACGCAAGGCAGCCAAGGUGCGGGAGAGUGGCUGAUCUUUGACCCUGGCAAUCUCUCGG
rnacentral:miRNA from 1 species